UAGGGAAUCUUCCACAAUGGACGCAAGUCUGAUGGAGCAACGCCGCGUGAGUGAAGAAGGUUUUCGGAUCGUAAAGCUCUGUUGUUGGUGAAGAAGGAUAGAGGUAGUAACUGGCCUUUAUUUGACGGUAAUCAACCAGAAAGUCACGGCUAACUACGUGCCAGCAGCCGCGGUAAUACGUAGGUGGCAAGCGUUGUCCGGAUUUAUUGGGCGUAAAGCGAGCGCAGGCGGAAGAAUAAGUCUGAUGUGAAAGCCCUCGGCUUAACCGAGGAACUGCAUCGGAAACUGUUUUUCUUGAGUGCAGAAGAGGGGAGUGGAAUUCCAUGUGUAGCGGUGGAAUGCGUAGAUAUAUGGAAGAACACCAGUGGCGAAGGCGACUCUCUGGUCUGCAACUGACGCUGAGGCUCGAAAGCAUGGGUAGCGAACAGG
rnacentral:rRNA from 1 species